UUGGAUGAUGACCCUACGACAUGCAAAGGCAUUCCUCAAUCUGAAGUUAUCAUGUGGAAUCUGUCAACUAUUAAGUUUCAGCCUUGUCUGACU
rfam:Penicillium subrubescens strain CBS 132785 PENSTBscaffold_639, whole genome shotgun sequence.